rnacentral:rRNA from 1 species
UACGGAGGAGGCAAGCGUUAUCCGGAAUUAUUGGGCGUAAAGCGUCCGUAGGUGGUUUAGUAAGUCUGCUGUUAAAGCGCGGGGCUUAACUCCGUAUCGGCAGUGGAAACUACUAGACUAGAGUGUGGUAGGGGUAGAGGGAAUUCCCAGUGUAGCGGUGAAAUGCGUAGAUAUCUGGAGGAACACCGGUGGCGAAGGCGGCAUCCUGGACCGGUAUUGACGCUGAGGCGCGAAAGCUAGGGGAGCAAACGGG